UUUGAAAUCUGGCAGUCUUCGAUUGUCCGAGUUGUAAUCUAUAGAGGCGUUUUCCGUGCCGGACCGUGUCCAAGUCUCCUGGAAAGGAGUAUCAAAGAGGGUGAUAAUCCCGUACUUAACACGACCACCGGUGCUCUGUGAUACGUCUUCUACGAGUCGAGUUGUUUGGGAAUGCAGCUCAAAAUGGGUGGUGAAUUCCAUCUAAAGCUAAAUAUUGGCGAGAGACCGAUAGCGAACAAGUACCGUGAGGGAAAGAUGAAAAGCACUUUGGAAAGAGAGUUAAACAGUACGUGAAAUUGUUGAAAGGGAAACGAUUGAAGUCAGUCGUGUUCUUUGGAUUCAGCCAGUUCUGCUGGUCUACUUCCUUUGAACGGGUCAACAUCAGUUUUGUCCGGUGGAUAAAGGUAGUAGGAAUGUGACUUCUCCGGAAGUGUUAUAGCCUAUUAUCACAUACACUGGGUGAGACUGAGGACUGCAGCUCGCCUUUAUGGCCGACCUUCGGGUACGUUCGAGCUUAGGAUGUUGACAUAAUAGG
rnacentral:rRNA from 1 species